rnacentral:pre_miRNA from 1 species
CAGAAAAAGUAAGUGUGGUAAGCCUAUAUCUGAUGGUGUAGCGGGAAUUCUCGUCUCGCUACACCAUCAGUUAUGGACUUGGCUACCUUAUAACUAAUGUG